rnacentral:rRNA from 1 species
CAGUAGCCACGGUAAUACGUAGGUGGCGAGCGUUGUCCGGAUUUAUUGGGCGUAAAGGGAGUGUAGGCGGUCUUUUAAGUCUGAUGUGAAAGCCCACGGCUCAACCGUGGAGGGUCAUUGGAAACUGGGAGACUUGAGUGCAGAAGAGGAGAGCGGAAUUCCAUGUGUAGCGGUGAAAUGCGUAGAUAUAUGGAGGAACACCGGUGGCGAAAGCGGCUCUCUGGCUUGUAACUGACGCUGAGGCUCGAAAGCGUGGGGAGCAAACAGGAUUAGAUACCCCUGUAGUCCCUGUCUCUUAUAC